rnacentral:tRNA from 1 species
CUCACCAUAGCUCAGUUGGUAGAGCAUUCGACUGUAGUGGAAAUCGCGGAUAUCGAAUUGUCCUUGGUUCGAUUCCGAGUGGUGAGA